CAUUGGCUCAACCAANGUAUGCUUUGGAAACUGUUAGACUUGAGUGCAGAAGGGGAGAGUGGAAUUCCAUGUGUAGCGGUGAAAUGCGUAGAUAUAUGGAGGAACACCGGUGGCGAAAGCGGCUCUCUGGUCUGUCACUGACGCUGAGGCUCGAAAGCGUGGGUAGCGAACAGGAUUAGAUACCCUGGUAGUNCACGCCGUAAACGCUGAGUGCUAGGUGUUAGGUCCUUUCCGGGACUUAGUGCCGACGCUAACGCAUUAAGCACUCCGCCUGGGGAGUACGACCGCAAGGUUGAAACUCAAAGGAAUUGACGGGGGCCCGCACAAGCGGUGGAGCAUGUGGUUUAAUUCGAAGCAACGCGAAGAACCUUACCAGGUCUUGACAUCCCGAUGCCCGCUCUAGAGAUAGAGUUUUUCUUCGGAACAUCGGAGACAGGUGGUGCAUGGUUGACGUCAGCUCGUGUCGUGAGAUGUUGGGUUAAGUCCCGCAACGAGCGCAACCCUUAUUGUUAGUUGCCAUCAUUAAGUUGGGCACUCUAGCGAGACUGCCGGUAAUAAACCGGAGGAAGGUGGGGAUGACGUCAAAUCAUCAUGCCCCUUAUGACCUGGGCUACACACGUGCUACAAUGGUUGGUACAACGAGUCGCAAGCCGGUGACGGCAAGCUAAUCUCUGAAAGCCAAUCUCAGUUCGGAUUGUAGGCUGCAACUCGCCUACAUGAAGUCGGAAUCGCUAGUAAUCGCGGAUCAGCACGCCGCGGUGAAUACGUUCCCGGGCCUUGUACACACCGCCCGU
rnacentral:rRNA from 1 species